rnacentral:rRNA from 1 species
ACGAACGCUGGCGGCGUGCUUAACACAUGCAAGUCGAACGGAAAGGCCCUGCUUUUGUGGGGUGCUCGAGUGGCGAACGGGUGAGUAACACGUGAGUAACCUGCCCUUGACUUUGGGAUAACUUCAGGAAACUGGGGCUAAUACCGGAUAGGAGCUCCUGCUGCAUGGUGGGGGUUGGAAAGUUUCGGCGGUUGGGGAUGGACUCGCGGCUUAUCAGCUUGUUGGUGGGGUAGUGGCUUACCAAGGCUUUGACGGGUAGCCGGCCUGAGAGGGUGACCGGCCACAUUGGGACUGAGAUACGGCCCAGACUCCUACGGGAGGCAGCAGUGGGGAAUAUUGCACAAUGGGCGGAAGCGUGAUGCAGCAACGCCGCGUGCGGGAUGACGGCCUUCGGGUUGUAAACCGCUUUCGCCUGUGACGAAGCGUGAGUGACGGUAAUGGGUAAAGAAGCACCGGCUAACUACGUG